rnacentral:rRNA from 1 species
GAUCAUGGCUCAGGACGAACGCUGGCGGCGCGCCUAACACAUGCAAGUCGAACGAGAGAUGAGGAGCUUGCUCUUCAAAUCGAGUGGCGAACGGGUGAGUAACGCGUGAGGAACCUGCCUCAAAGGAGGGGACAACAGUUGGAAACGACUGCUAAUACCGCAUAAGCCCACGGCUCGGCAUCGAGCAGAGGGAAAAGGAGUGAUCCGCUUUGAGAUGGCCUCGCGUCCGUA